rnacentral:rRNA from 1 species
CAGUCGCCGCGGUAAUACGAAGGGGGCUAGCGUUGCUCGGAAUUACUGGGCGUAAAGGGAGCGUAGGCGGACAUUUAAGUCAGGGGUGAAAUCCCGCAGCUCAACUGCGGAACUGCCUUUGAUACUGGGUAUCUUGAGUAUGGAAGAGGUUAGUGGAAUUGCGAGUGUAGAGGUGAAAUUCGUAGAUAUUCGCAGGAACACCAGUGGCGAAGGCGGCUAACUGGUCCAUAACUGACGCUGAGGUGCGAAAGCGUGGGGAGCAAACAGGAUUAGAUACCCCUGUAGUCCCUGUCUCUUAUAC